UCGACCGGCGCACGGGUGCGUAACGCGUAUGCAACUACCUUUAACAGGGGAGUAACACUGAGAAAUUGGUACUAAUACCCCAUAAUAUCAUAGAAGGCAUCUUUUAUGGUUGAAAAUUCCGAUGGUUAGAGAUGGGCAUGCGUUGUAUUAGCUAGUUGGUGGGGUAACGGCUCACCAAGGCGACGAUACAUAGGGGGACUGAGAGGUUAACCCCCCACACUGGUACUGAGACACGGACCAG
rnacentral:rRNA from 1 species